GGGGGAGCUGUCCUGUGAGGGACACAAGGUCAGUGUCUGCCCUUCAGGUACUUGUGAUCUGAAGGAGGAGAGAAAAAAAUGCACAAGACAGCAGAGUCUCCAGGCCAAAUGAAAGAAUCAACUAGCUUUGUUGGAGUUCAGAGGAAAGACUGCCCUGGAGGCCUCAGAGCUAAGGGUAAGCCACAUGGUCACGAUGAAAUACUGGACAUGGGUCUCAGCCCUGGGUCUAGCCAAUUACAAAAGGGAUCCAAAUUCUGGAAGAAGUCACACAUUGACCCCAACCAGAAGGCUGAAGCUACUAAUCAUGAUAUUCCAAUUGCAACAAACCUGAGUGGCUAAGGAGAAAUGGAAAGAGAGGGCAUAUGGGAUCUUAGUUCCCCGACCAGGGAUCAAACCUGCUUUGGGCAUGC
ensembl:lncRNA